AUAUAGAAAAGUGCCCUUCCCCAAUUUCCAAAUCAUGAAAAUUUGGCUCAGCAGGUGUACACUUAAAGCAUUCUGGGAAUAUGAAUCCCUUCUGCACCCGGGAUUCACCAGUCCAGCCAUGCAUGGAGCUGGGGAAAGCAGGCCCUGAACUGUCUAGAGAGACUUGGUGGAGGAGGCCACGGCCCGUCUUGUCCCUGCCGGGUCCUGGCCAGGUGUGUGUGCCCCAGCUCGACUCUCGGUGGUCUCCAGGCUGCAGCAGAAGGAAUACCUUGGAACAACUGGAUGUUGUAAAUGUUUCUCAUCUGGCCUUAAAAUCCAUGAAAGCUGGAAAAUGCCAAGGCAUCUGUGCACAUACUGGUGGAUUUUAAUGAGAGUCCUGUGUUUGGAGCACCAGAAAUAAACCAGCUUCAGAAGCAAAGUUAACAGGAGGAGGAAGCAGAGCUAGAGCUGGAAGGAGACCCAGCCAGCCCGGGCUCCAGUGACAUCAGCCGGUACACGCUCUUGUUUGCUUACGCUUGUUGAACUGAGUUUUUCAUAUGUAACUAACCAAUACUGGCACAUGUGAGCCCGAGAAUUUGCAUUUCUGACAAGAUCCCAGGAUUUGAACGUCUAUGACACUCUUCCGAGCUGACACAGUGAAGAACAUGGAAGGAGAACUCACCCAGUCUGCCAGGGUCACAGAUGAUCAUACUCAAGAUCUUCCUGGGGAGUCAACGGCAAAUUUCACUGGGCUACUUUACAGAUGAAGAAGGAAUAUAAAGAAGGUUCUGGGACCCU
rnacentral:lncRNA from 1 species